rnacentral:rRNA from 1 species
UACGAAGGGGGCUAGCGUUGCUCGGAAUCACUGGGCGUAAAGCGCACGUAGGCGGCUUUCUAAGUCAGGGGUGAAAUCCUGGAGCUCAACUCCAGAACUGCCUUUGAUACUGGAGAGCUUGAGUCCGGAAGAGGUGAGUGGAACUCCGAGUGUAGAGGUGAAAUGCGUAGAUAUCUGGAGGAACACCGGUGGCGAAGGCGGCAUCCUGGACCGGUAGUUGACGCUGAGGAGCGAAAGCCAGGGGAGCAAAGCGGGAUUAAGAUGACCCGAGUA